UGUUGAACCCGUUUCUUUCUCCUCCGUUGAAGAAACAGAGGAAAGGUGUUUCGGAUGAGAAGCCUGAAGCUUCUAAUGAUGAGGAGGAAGAAAAAGUGAAUGAACAGUCUGAUGAAGGAGAUGAAUUGGGUUCUGACGUUUUCUCCGAUGGUGAUGGAGAAGAAGAAGAAGAUGAUGGUGAUGGUGAUGGUGAUGAGGAGGAUGAUACAUAGCCAUUGGCUGAUGACUUUCUAGAUGGUAGCGAUGAUGAAGAGGAACCUUUGGGUUCUGAUUCCGAUGGAUCUGAUCUCGCGAAGGAAGUAAAGUUAUUGAUGAAUAACAUAAAAGGCAGGAGCAAGAUGCAAAAGAUGAACUACAGAUGAAGAACAACCUAACGAGUUUGGUCUACCAACCAAAAAGGAACUUGAAGAAGAGUCAAGUGGGCCACCAAUACCUAUGUUACCUUUGAUAAUCUACAUCUUGGUAUACUCCUCCUUUUAUGGAUGCGAGAGUAUGAGAUCACUUCUCCGGAAACUAAGAUCUGGUUUGAUUUCAAGGUGAGUAUUUUCCCACUUGAUGAUUGUCCCAUAACAUAUUUCUUCCCUGAGCUCUUUUCCUCAUCAGUUUCCAUUAUUACAGUUGGAGAAAACUUCUCUUUGCUACGGUUCAAAUUAGUCAAGCCUUUAGAAACGAGGUGUUUAUCCCUGGCGUUUUUUACUGUUUUGCUUGCUAUGUUGAAUGUUCAUGACAAGCUUGAGAACUCUUUUUUCUAUUAUGAUUGGGUUUCAAUAAGUUGUAUAUAUGACUUGCAGAUAUGUCCUUCUGAAGGGCUUCUUAAGUUCUUAGAGUUCACUCAGCUUUGUUGAGUCUGAGAAUAAGUCCCACCCUAACUAAAUUCUCUGAUGUCGAGUUCAUAAUUUUUCCAGAUAAGAAUAAAUGGUUGGCCAAUCUGAGCAAACGCUUUGCCUUGACAAAGUUGCUGCAAAGGUAGAUUGAUUGUGUUCCGUGAUCACAUGGCUUCUCAGAGUCGCUGGGAUCGGAUGGUUGUCUUUUCCAGGACAAACCUUGAAUAGAGUGGCAUUAUAUUUUACCAUUCUGGUCUUCAGGCACGAUGACAUGCUUAAUGCUUUGUCAUGUGUGAUGUGUUGCGUCGUCAAAGGGUCUAUAAGUCUUGGACACAUCCAAAACACACAAGGAAGACAUAAUAUCAAAUUUUGACUGCAAAGAUUUCUAGGGAAGGUCAGAGGACUAACGGAAGUGCUAUGAUGGCUUGGUUUGCGCAAAGAAGAAAUUAAAGAAAAAGAUUUGAAUGCUCCGACGCUUUGAUGUUCUGUCUUUUUCAGUGUAAAUAUUUUUCUUAUGCAAACUGACUUCAAACUAAAAGUUACUGACAUACACAGGCAUUGUUAAGUGUUUUUUUUAGAUGAAUAUAUUUUUACAUUCUUUCUAAAAAGAUUAUAAGCAAUCAAUAAAAAAACCAGUAAAAAACACAGACACCACAUUGAAAUUUUGAGAAAGAGAAUGGAAGACGACAAAAAAAAAACCAAUACCACAACACACACCUAUGUUUAAUAGUCAAUAUCUAUACGAUUUAUUCACACUUAUUAUCAGUAAGGCUCAUAUAAAAUAAAUUAGAUCAAUCACAAAUGUUUAUUAAAAUCACAUAUUGAGAAUAAUGAAGGUUAAUAUCAUUUUAAUUCAAAUCAGAAAUG